rnacentral:rRNA from 1 species
GCCCAAGAGAUCGGGAUAACACCUGGAAACAGAUGCUAAUACCGGAUAACAACAGAUGAUGCCUAUCAACUGUUUAAAAGAUGGUUCUGCUAUCACUCUUGGAUGGACCUGCGGUGCAUUAGCUAGUUGGUAGGGUAACGGCCUACCAAGGCGAUGAUGCAUAGCCGAGUUGAGAGACUGAUCGGCCACAUUGGGACUGAGACACGGCCCAAACUCCUACGGGAGGCAGCAGUG